UACGUAGGUGACCAGCGUUGUCCGGAUUUACUGGGCGUAAAGCGCGCGCAGGCGGUCGUUCAAGUCGAGUGUGAAAGCCCCCGGCUCAACUGGGGAGGGUCACUCGAUACUGAUCGACUGGAAGGCAGGAGAGGGAAGCGGAAUUCCCGGUGUAGUGGUGAAAUGCGUAGAUAUCGGGAGGAACACCAGUGGCGAAGGCGGCUUCCUGGCCUGUUCUUGACGCUGAGGCGCGAAAGCGAGGGGAGCAAACAGG
rnacentral:rRNA from 1 species